rnacentral:rRNA from 1 species
AACGAACGCUGGCGGCGUGCCUAACACAUGCAAGUCGAACGAGAAAGGGGCUUCGGCUCCGAGUAAAGUGGCGCACGGGUGAGUAACACGUAGGUAACCUGCCUCUAAGAUUGGGAUAACCUGUCGAAAGACGAGCUAAUACCGAAUAAGACCACGGCUUCCUCGGAAGCAGGGGUCAAAGGUAGCCUCUACUUGUAAGCUAUCACUUGGAGAUGGGCCUGCGUACCAUUAGCUAGNGGUGGGGAACGGCCUACCAAGGCAAAGAUGGUUAGCUGGUCUGAGAGGAUGAUCAGCCACACUGGAACUGAGACACGGUCCAGACUCCUACGGGAGGCAGCAGUGGGAAUAUUGCGCAAUGGGCGAAAGCCUGACGCAGCAACGCCGCGUGAGUGAUGAAGGCCUU